GACGAACGCUGGCGGCGUGCCUAAUACAUGCAAGUAGAACGCUGAAGCGAGGAGCUUGCUCUUCUUGGAUGAGUUGCGAACGGGUGAGUAACGCGUAGGUAACCUGCCUUGUAGCGGGGGAUAACUAUUGGAAACGAUAGCUAAUACCGCAUAACAAUGGAUGACACAUGUCAUUUAUUUGAAAGGGGCAAUUGCUCCACUACAAGAUGGACCUGCGUUGUAUUAGCUAGUAGGUGAGGUAAUGGCUCACCUAGGCGACGAUACAUAGCCGACCUGAGAGGGGGAUCGGCCAAACUGGGACUGAGACACGGCCCAGACUCCUACGGGAGGCAGCAGUAGGGAAUCUUCGGCAAUGGGGGCAACCCUGACCGAGCAACGCCGCGUGAGGGAAGAAGGUUUUCGGAUCGUAAAGCUCUGUUGUAAGUCAAGAACGGGUGUGAGAGUGGAAAGUUCACACUGUGACGGUAGCUGACCAGAAAGGGACGGCUAACUACGUG
rnacentral:rRNA from 1 species